rnacentral:rRNA from 1 species
GUGCCAGCCGCCGCGGUAAUACCGGCAGCUCAAGUGAUGGCCACUCUUAUUGGGCCUAAAGCGUCCGUAGCUGGCCGCGCAAGUCCGUCGGGAAAUCCAUCAGCCCAACUGAUGGGCGUCCGGCGGAAACUGCACGGCUUGGGACCGGAAGGCUCGAGAGGUACGUCCGGGGUAGGAGUGAAAUCCUAUAAUCCUGGACGGACCACCAAUGGGGAAACCACGUCGAGAGACCGGACCCGACAGUGAGGGACGAAAGCCAGGGUCUCGAACCGGAUUAGAUACCCUAGUAGUCC